rnacentral:rRNA from 1 species
CUCCAGACUCCUACGGGAGGCAGCAGUGGGGAAUAUUGCGCAACGGACGAAAGUCUGACGCAGCGACGCCGCGUGAGGGAUGAAGGUUUUCGGACCGUAAACCUCUGUCAGGAGGGAAGAAAGCGUAUGGCGCCAAUCAGCCAUGCGUUGACGGUACCUCCAAAGGAAGCGCCGGCUAACUCCGUGCCAGCAGCCGCGGUAAUACGUAGGGGGCAAGCGUUGUUCGGAAUGACUGGGCGUAAAGGGUGCGUAGGCGGUGUAGCAAGUUAGAAGUGAAAUACCUAGAGCUUAACUCAGGUGCUGCUUCUAAAACUGCUAUACUUGAGUGCAGUAGAGGAAAGUGGAAUUCCUAGUGUAGCGGUGGAAUGCGUAGAUAUUAGGAGGAACAUCAGUGGCGAAGGCGACUUUCUGGACUGUAACUGACGCUGAGGCACGAAAGUGUGGGGAGCAAGCAGGAUUAGAUACCCGAGUAUUC